GCAUUGGAUGCGGUGGCCCAUGUCUGUAACCCCUGAUGCUGGAGAGGCUGAAGCUGUCAGAUUAUUUGAGUUUGGGAAUUCUGAGCUUCAAUAGGGUUAAAGCUGACUGGAUGCCUACAGUAAAUCUGGCACAAUACAGUGAACUCCCCGAACCUGGGGGCUACCAGGCUGCUUAAGGAGGGGCAAACCAGCCGAGGGUAGAAAUGGAGCAGGUCAAAGCUUUCAUGCCAUUCAGCAAUAGAAUCUGACCCAAGAGAGGCUACAUUUUCAGCCUAGGAGCGAAAGGAAGACCCAGUAUCA
ensembl:misc_RNA Metazoa_SRP Metazoan signal recognition particle RNA